GACGAACCGUGCGAACGUUGUUCGGAAUCACUGGGCUUAAAGGGCGCGUAGGCGGGUCAGCCAGUCCGGGGUGAAAUCCUUCGGCUUAACCGGAGAACUGCCUCGGAGACGACUGAUCUGGAGGGAGGUAGGGGCGGCCGGAACUUCCGGUGGAGCGGUGAAAUGCGUUGAUAUCGGAAGGAACGCCGGUGGCGAAAGCGGGCCGCUGGACCUCUACUGACGCUGAGGCGCGAAAGCCAGGGGAGCAAAC
rnacentral:rRNA from 1 species